rnacentral:rRNA from 1 species
AUGAACGCUGGCGGCGUGCCUAAUACAUGCAAGUCGAGCGAACAGACGAGGAGCUUGCUCCUCUGACGUUAGCGGCGGACGGGUGAGUAACACGUGGAUAACCUACCUAUAAGACUGGGAUAACUUCGGGAAACCGGAGCUAAUACCGGAUAAUAUAUUGAACCGCAUGGUUCCAUAGUGAAAGACGGUUUUGCUGUCACUUAUAGAUGGAUCCGCGCCGCAUUAGCUAGUUGGUAAGGUAACGGCUUACCAAGGCGACGAUGCGUAGCCGACCUGAGAGGGUGAUCGGCCACACUGGAACUGAGACACGGUCCAGACUCCUACGGGAGGCAGCAGUAGGGAAUCUUCCGCAAUGGGCGAAAGCCUGACGGAGCAACGCCGCGUGAGUGAUGAAGGUCUUCGGAUCGUAAAACUCUGUUAUUAGGGAAGAACAAAUGUGUAAGUAACUAUGCACGUCUUGACGGUACCUAAUCAGAAAGCCACGGCUAACUACGUG